rnacentral:misc_RNA from 1 species
UUACUAGUAGCAGAUGACAUAAGUACGUGUUCACCUGACGCUCCACCAGUCGCAGUUUUUUCCUUUGGUGGUCCUCGAGUAGGCAACAAAGGUUUCGCCAAUCGUCUGGAGUCCAAAAACGUUAAGGUGUUACGUAUCGUGAACAAGCAAGACGUGAUCACUAAAGUUCCAGGGAUGUUUGUGAGCGAAGCAAUAGACAAGAAACUAAGGGACACCGGUGCCUCGGGGGUGUUGAACUUGCUUGACAAUAGCAUGCCAUGGGCUUAUUCACAUGUUGGCACAGAAUUGAGAGUUGACACAACAAAG